rnacentral:rRNA from 1 species
CGGACGGGUGAGUAACGCGUGGGUAACCUGCCUCAUACAGGGGGAUAGCAGCUGGAAACGGCUGGUAAUACCGCAUAAGCGCACAGUACCACAUGGUACAGUGUGAAAAACUCCGGUGGUAUGAGAUGGACCCGCGUCUGAUUAGCUGGUUGGCGGGGUAACGGCCCACCAAGGCGACGAUCAGUAGCCGACCUGAGAGGGUGACCGGCCACAUUGGGACUGAGACACGGCCCAG